rnacentral:rRNA from 1 species
UACAGGGGGUGCAAACGUUGCUCGGAAUCAUUGGGCGUAAAGCGCACGUAGGCGGUUCGUUAUGUCGGAUGUGAAAGCCCUUGGCUUAACCGAGGAAGUGCAUCCGAAACUGGCGAGCUAGAGUACGAAAGAGGAUCGCGGAAUUCCCGGUGUAGAGGUGAAAUUCGUAGAUAUUGGGAGGAACACCGGUGGCGAAGGCGGCCAUUUGGGCUGUAACUGACGCUGAGGCGCGAAAGCGUGGGUAGCAAACAGG